rnacentral:rRNA from 1 species
GGGGAAUCUUGCACAAUGGGCGGAAGCCUGAUGCAGCAACGCCGCGUGAGUGAAGACGGCCUUCGGGUUGUAAAACUCUGUCAGGAGGGGUGAAAAAAAUGACGGUACCUCCAGAGGAAGCCCCGGCUAACUACGUGCCAGCAGCCGCGGUAACACGUAGGGGGCCAGCGUUGUCCGGAAUUACUGGGCGUAAAGGGCGUGUAGGCGGCCUAGCAAGUCAGCUGUGAAACCCCCGGGCUCAACCUGGGGCUUGCAGUUGAAACUGCAUGGCUUGAGUGCAGGAGAGGAGAGUGGAAUUCCUAGUGUAGCGGUGAUAUGCGUAGAUAUUAGGAGGAACACCAGUGGCGAAGGCGGCUCUCUGGACUGCAACUGACGCUGAGGCGCGAAAGCGUGGGGAGCAAAC